GGGUCCCUCUGCUUGAGCUCACCAUGCUGCUGGUGCACUGCUUUCCUUGGAUGAAGAGCUGAAGUGGGCUGUGAGGAAGACAUGGAAUGUGUCCAUUCACACUGGACAGCAGGAGUUUUCCAGAGUCACAGCGGCACAGUUGGAGUCACCAGCCAUUUCCAGCUGGAGCAUUGAGGGGUUUUAUGAGUAGAUCCAGCUGGAAAAGGUCUGAAGUCAAAGAAGUGUAUACUGGUGAGUGACACAUUGCACUGCCCUCCUGCC
rnacentral:lncRNA from 12 species